rnacentral:rRNA from 1 species
GGAUUGCCCUAGUAACGGCGAGUGAAGCGGCAACAGCUCAAAUUUGAAAGCUAGCCUUCGGGUUCGCAUUGUAAUUUGUAGAGGAUGAUUUGGGGAAGCCGCCUGUCUAAGUUCCUUGGAACAGGACGUCAUAGAGGGUGAGAAUCCCGUAUGUGACAGGAAAUGGCACCCUAUGUAAAUCUCCUUCGACGAGUCGAGUUGUUUGGGAAUGCAGCUCUAAAUGGGAGGUAAAUUUCUUCUAAAGCUAAAUAUUGGCGAGAGACCGAUAGCGCACAAGUAGAGUGAUCGAAAGAUGAAAAGCACUUUGGAAAGAGAGUUAAAAAGCACGUGAAAUUGUUGAAAGGGAAGCGCUUGCAAUCAGACUUGUUUAAACUGUUCGGCCGGUCUUCUGACCGGUUUACUCAGUUUGGACAGGCCAGCAUCAGUUUCGGCGGCCGGAUAAAGGCUCUGGGAAUGUGGCCUCCACUUCGGUGGAGGUGUUAUAGCCCAGGGUGUAAUACGGCCAGCCGGGACUGAGGUCCGCGCUUCGGCUAGGAUGCUGGCGUAAUGGUUGUAAGCGACCCGUCUUGAAACACGGACCAAGGAGUCUAACAUCUAUGCGAGUGUUCGGGUGUCAAACCCCUGCGCGUAAUGAAAGUGAACGGAGGUGGGAACCCGCAAGGGUGCACCAUCGACCGAUCCUGAUGUCUUCGGAUGGAUUUGAGUAA